CGUAACUGAACUGUUGAGCCAUGUUUCGGAUACGGUAAAUAUGUCAAACUUAUUUUCCAGUACCGCUUCCUUUACAAGAACGAAAUGCUCACGGCAUUUAAGCGAGCGAACGUUAAGAUGUGCAAUCUUCACAUUGCCAUUUGACUUUUCAGACUUGUUUCUGAUAGAGCUGUUUGCUGGUCCAGGGUUAAGUUCAACAUCAUGUAAUAGUUUUAUAACAGGUCUAAAAGUCGAGGUUGAAUUGGCAUAAUAGGCUGUUGUAACGUUUGCUCGUUUCACUCUAAUAGUGACAUGCACGUGUACCCGCCAUUUUGUACAGAGUCUCGAAUCCCAGUUUGCCACUUAAACCGACGUAGAGUGCGGGAAGCGUGGACCAAAGUACUCAUUGGUAAAAGAGUAGUCUUGUUUAUCUUUCCACGAGGUAUGAACAAGACACAAGAGGAGUACAAGUCCAAUGACUCAUGAGCUCAGAAUCACACAUCCGCCCUCCAUUAUGAUAUGCAAAACCCAUGUUCUUGUGCUUUCAUUUUUUUGUUUUUGUUUUCCAAUUAUUCUCUCAUUAUGGUAUCAAGCAAACCUGUACCUCCUGCUAGCUUAAUUAAAUGAAAAUGUAUCUGUAGGUGGAGGAGAAUUUGUAGCACUUUCAAAAUGUUUCCUUUUAGUUAGAGAUCUGUACACAUGUACAGUCCACAAAAUUAACAUUACCUCUGUUUCCUUGAGAACAGGGCUUCAGGAGACUGUGAAAAAGACAUGUGGGAGAUUCCCCAGCAUUUCAUCUUGUUCAACUUCAAGUUGAGUGCAUCAAAUUGUUCUGCAGUGCCAUCAGCCUGGUCACUACUCCUUGCUUGGUGACAGUCACUCAACACCACUCCCUGCUGUGACAAUCAACUGUCUCCUUAGCAAAGAUUCAGAACUCCAAACAGUCGGAGCUGCUUUAGUUUCCAAUAUCGCAACAGUUAAGGUACCUUUUCAUUGUGUAUCUUAUCUUUUUGGUUGUGGCCAGAACUCCAAGCUGCAAUCAUUUUGGUCAGCUUGGCAAAUUUAUGAAAUUUACACCAAGAAUAGCCAGCUGGAAGCCUAAAGAAACCUGAGGUGAGACAACUGUUGACAUAUUGUUAUGUUUGUAGUGACUUAAUAGUUGCCUUUUGAAUUGUUCUUUGUCCAUUCUCUUUGUUGUUCAUUAGUUUCGCUAAUUCAUAUCAUCAUAAUUAACAUAUUGCAGGAGACACAUGUAUGCAUUGAGUACCUCUUUUUUCAUUACAAUCUGUAACCGCCUUAUAUAUGAAUCAAUCAUAAUUAAUUUUACUUUAUUAUUGGUUCAUUCAUUUAUCAGAUACACGAAGACAUCGCGUUGGAGUGUUCUACAGCCGUAAUUGAACUCUUAACCAGAAAUGUUUCUCCAGAGACAGAACAUAAUUAUUUGUACACUCUGAGAAGAUUUAUGGAUUACAAUUCAGAGGAAUUUCUUGACUACCUGAGAAAACGCGACUGUGGUUUUUUGUAGGUGGCUGGCCUUGUAAGUGUCAUGGGAGUAAAUGUUGGCAAAUAUAAAGAAAGAUCUUCUGACAUUGAUGAACUUUGCAGAGAUUUGGAAAAGUCACUCAGUUACAAUCAGUCGAAAUCAUUACGCUUAUGGAUUAUGAAAGACUCAUAUGUAUGAAAAGCGUUUUAACUGCUGACGAAAAAUUUAACUUGUUCAUUUUUCGGUCGAGAAAUUACUACAUCAGAUGACGUUGUUAUUCUCCGAAAUUCUCGGAGAAAGGUCUGACUACACUUACAUCUGCGUUGCUGUUGUUCAGCGGACAACUCACCAUACCAUUUUAAUUUUAAUGACCUGUUUUGGGAAUAGAAAGGAACAAAAACCUAAGAUAAUAAUGAAGUGUUAGCUCGUCUGCUGAAAAUCUAAAACUUUGAUUAAUUUACAAUUAUCUGGCUGAGGCGAAGUGAAUAUUGAGCACAAAAUUCAACAAGCCACAGGGAAAGUAACUGUUAUAAUAAAAUAACUCGAGUGGAUCUCAUAGAAACUGAAUACGGAUCAUUUUAGUUUUCUGGGCAACCGAGAUCGAUUUCACUUUCUCGAGCUUGCACAACAACCUGUACACGAUUUUCACAAAUUGACACUCACAGUUUCUGGGCAACCAGUCGAUUUUCAGUCGUCACGAUUUAUAAGUCACUCGAUAAACGAAUUAAAGCGAGACUCGUUUGUUUGUGAAUAGAAACGAGACUCGUAUGUAGAAACGAGACUCGUUUGUAGAAACGAGACUCGUUUG